rnacentral:sRNA from 1 species
UAUGGGCUCGCGAGCCACAUUCGGGCGA